rnacentral:rRNA from 1 species
UCGGCUCUCGCAUCGAUGAAGAACGUAGCGAAAUGCGAUACUUGGUGUGAAUUGCAGAAUCCCGUGAACCAUCGAGUCUUUGAACGCAAGUUGCGCCCGAAGCCAUUAGGCCGAGGGCACGUCUGCCUGGGCGUCUCGCUCCCCGACCCUCAC